UCUCGACGAACGCAAUGGGGGAUGGGCGACGGCUUCAAGGAGAUCAGCCCCAUCCAACGACGCCAAGACACGGGACUAGUCGAGAACUGACGGCCGGAAUCUGGCGAUCAUGUCUGGGUUGGAGCCGAGUCUCGACGGCCACUGAUGGCGGUGCUGGAGCUCGAUAAAGGACCAAAUUCUUUCCUGCGUUUCUGGUGACGAUUUCCGUCAAUCCAAAUGGGUCUCCAAAAAUGAAGCUGAAUACCUGCACAAGGAGAUGGCAACAAAACCCUUUACUGGUUCCUCUAGAAAACUUAAUGAAACUCAAACAGAGCUCCCACGAAAAGAAACUGAAACAGCGCUCCCACAAAAAGAAACUGAAUCGCAGCUCCCGCAAGACAGAACUAGUGAGGCAGAAAAUAGCAACCAGACUUGGAACAUUCGUGAGAAUGUAAUUACGGCAACAGAAAGCAGAAACGUUGGGAUUUUCAACUUCAACAACGAAUAUCAUGAAGGUGGUGCUGUUGAUCAUCAUCAAGGAAUGAAGGGUCAAAACAAAACUGACUACAACAUUGAUUGCAACAAGAUUGAUUCAAAAGAUGGGGAGUUUGUUGGGAUCGGCAAAUUUGGCAACAAGUACUACAACUCGAGGAAAGACGAAGCAAGAAGCUCGAGCGAAGAAGAAGAAACGAGCAAGCCAUGAUAUAAGCUUUGGUAAAAAUAAAUAAGAGAAAAAGUAAGGGAGCUCAGCUGCUGAAUAAAGAAAGAGGCUGGAGUUCUCUGUUUCUUUGUAGUGUCUACUAUUUGAAUGUGGUUUGUUAUAGUAUUGGAGUUGAUCUGUGGAAUUUAAUAUAUUGAUUUUCAGCAUGAAAAA